rnacentral:rRNA from 1 species
ACAUGCCUACAACAUAGCAUUAAUGCAGAGGAUCCCAUUAGAACUCUGCAGUUAAGCGCGCUCGGGCUAGAGUAGUACUGGGAUGGGUGAUCGCCUAGGAAGUCCUAGUGUUUUACAUGCC